rnacentral:misc_RNA from 1 species
UAAUUUUCUUCUAUUCAUUCCUCCAUUUAACUCAAUUUGACGUUAUGCCCAUUCAUGCAGGACAGAGAAUGAAGGUAAAAAUAAUAGAGGAAAGAAAUGAUUGAUAAUUUGUUAAAAAAAACUCCAAUAAACUAGAAAGUAGCUUUGUUUUAACGACUGAAUUGAAACUAAUAAACGGGACAUCCAUCAACAACAAUACCUUUGGCAGUUGGGCAUGAAGCCAGGGGACAAUUCUCACCCUCACUACCCCACCAGGAUACGGAUAUGUCCUCCAUCGUCAAAGUGAAGUAUAGAAGAACCCCCAUGAAAGCCAAACCUGCAUCCAAAGCUGCUGAAAGGAUAUAAUUAUACCUCUGCCACCACUUCUUGUGGUACUUAAAGAUGAAGUAGUUGAAAAUUAUUCCAAUCACAAUCCAGCAAUUGAAGUUCACAGUUGUAGCUGGUGGCAUUAUAGCUGUUGCUCCCAAGAGUACAGGAAGAUUAAUCAGGGCAAUCCAUUUCUGCUUGGGAAAAGCUUUGUGCAAAAGCCAUACGAUGACAGGUCCUGUUGCACCUCCAAGGAAAAACCAAUUGAGUACCGAAUAGUUUCCAAGACUGCCAAAGAUUCGCUUAGGUCCAACCAAACCCCAGAUGACAGAUGCAUCAUAGAAAACACGGUCUCCGGGACAUGUCCAGGGACUGUUUGGAGGGAGUAAAUUAUCCUGACAUAUGUUUUCAACCGUGGUCAGCAGCCACCAUGCCACCGCAGUGUUCACUGUUCCUGAUAUUACAGUGCCUAUGGACUGCACUAAAAACAUUGAUCUUGGUGGAAUCUUCAUGUAGUGCCCUAGCUUAAAAUCAGCGAGAAAGGAAACUGCCUGACUCAUGCUUAUAUAGCCAUAGGUUUUGAAGCAAACGUUGGCUAUCGGUCUGCCAGGUAAUAUAACACCCAUGAGGUACUCUGUGAUGAUGUUUAGUCCUGGUGACUGAUUCGUUGUGGCAGUUAUAAUGCUAAUUGGAAGCGUGAAAGUCAAAGCAAUUCCUACUGCAAAAAUGAGUCCCCACCAUGGCAUUUGUAUCUGAUCUUUCAUGAAAAUGCAUAAAUAUAGAGACAGUGCUAAUGAAAACACAAGCAUCAGGUAAAACCACCAAUUAGGUAUGCCGUUAUAUUUUUUCAUUAAUCUUGUGUGUAUAUCUUCCUUUCCUUCAUAUGAAGCUCGGAACUGUUGAAGUAUCUCCUUUCCAUUAAACAAAGCUACAUGCAUCAGGGUGGAAACAAUUGCAGCAAAACCAAUUCCAUAUGUAAUUGCAAAGAAGGAACUCAGGUACAGAUGCCCUUGCUUCUGAUAUGUUGGAAGGUCUAUCUCAAACUUAUUGUUGACAAUGGCAGAUACAUUAUAUAACUCUCCUUGGUGAUUGAAUAAAUGUGAGGAGACAAUUGGGAACUUCUUUGCGUCGUAUGUAUUAAAGCCCCAAUAAGCUAUUGGCAUUAUCACAUAUAUCAUUGCAAUAUAGCCCACAAUGAUAUUGACAAUGGCAAAGAAUGGAGUGAUAAGGGGGCUGCCUAGGUAUGAAGCUAUGACAGACCAGUCAAUUGCAAAAGCUCCAAGACCGAGGCCCUUCAUGCCUGAGCCAAUCUGCUGGGCUGUCACUGACUUGGGGAAUACCCAACAGACCCAUGAAAUGGUUGACAAAGUUGGGAAAAGGUAUCCAGGAAACGAGUACCAGGAGAAGCUGCAGAUCAGCGCAAUCAAGAAGAAUUUACCUCGCGACAUUCGAUUGCUGUCUUUUUCGUGCAGAGCCCUGGCAUGAGUAAAUGAUUACGGUAGGCAAUUGGGCAGCUUCUAAUUUG